rnacentral:rRNA from 1 species
UACGUAGGGUGCGAGCGUUGUCCGGAAUUAUUGGGCGUAAAGGGCUCGUAGGCGGUCUGUCGCGUCGGGGAGUGAAAACUCAGGGCUUAACCCUGAGCCUGCUUCCGAUACGGGCAGACUAGAGUGUGGUAGGGGAGACUGGAAUUCCUGGUGUAGCGGUGAAAUGCGCAGAUAUCGGGAGGAACACCAAUGGCGAAGGCAGCUCGCUGGGACGGUACUGACGCUGAGACGCGAAAGCGUGGGGAGCAAACAGGG